GGUUCAGAUUGGAUAUUAUGAAAAAAUUGUUCACAGAAAGGGUUGUGAAGCACCAGAACAGGCUGCCCUGAGAAGUGGUAGAGUCACCAUCCCUGGAGGUGUUUAAAAGGCAUUUAGAUGAGGUUCUUAGGGACGUGGUUUAGUGCCAGAGUUAGGUUACAGUUGGACUCUAUGAUAUUGAGGGUCUCUUCCAACCAAAAUAAUUCUAUGAUUCCCCACAGGUGACUCCGGAAAGCACAUCAAGAAAAUCAGUGCUCAGAUUUGGAACUUGAAUAGUGUCAACGUGAACCAGGUCAGGGCUUAUGCCCCAGAUUCUGAUUCAGACAGGGUUGCUCCAUUAACCACCACCAAAAGCAGCUCUACAGCCUGUGAUAGUCCUCCCAAGUAGGCUGCCAAACAGCUGAAGUUCCCUUCACAGAUGAAGACCACUGCUUAACACCGAGUAUUUUUAGCCAUCAGAAAAUUGACUGGUCAGCGUAACUGAGAUACUACCACAUACUAUCCUUCCCCUGAAUCUUCCUCACACAGUUCUACCAGCCUAGAGUUAGUGAUUCAAUAUUCUACAAUUACAAGUUUCUGAAGAAGUCAA